AAAUGAAUUGACGGGGGCUCACACAAGCGGUGGAGCAUGUGGCUCAAUUCGAAGCAACGCGAAGAACCUUAUCCUGGGCUUGACAUGCAUGGAUUAGGUCCUGGAAACAGGACUGACGCUCUCACGAGUGGAACAUGCACAGGUGCUGCAUGGCUGUCGUCAGCUCGUGCUGUGAAGUGUCGGGUUAAGUCCCUUAACGAGCGAAACCCCUGUCGUUAGUUGCCACCAGGUUAUGCUGAGCACUCUAGCGAGACUGCCGGUGUCAAACCGGAGGAAGGUGGGGAUGACGUCAAGUCCUCAUGGCCUUUAUGCCCAGGGCUGCACACGUGCUACAAUGGCGCGGUACAAAGCGACGCUAGACCGCAAGGUGACGCAAAUCGCAAAAAACGCGCCCCAGUUCAGAUUGAGGUCUGCAACUCGACCUCAUGAAGUUGGAAUCGCUAGUAAUCGCGGAUCAGCUACGCCGCGGUGAAUGUGUUCCUGAGCCUUGUACACACCGCCCGU
rnacentral:rRNA from 1 species